GCACUUCGGGAUAAGCCUGGGAAACUGGGUCUAAUACCGGAUAUGACUGCGAAUCGCAUGGUUUGUGGUGGAAAGCUUUUGCGGUGUGGGAUGGGCCCGCGGCCUAUCAGCUUGUUGGUGAGGUUAUGGCUUACCAAGGCGACGACGGGUAGCCGGCCUGAGAGGGUUACCGGCCACACUGGGACUGAGAUACGGCCCAGACUCCUACGGGAGGCAGCAGUGGGGAAUAUUGCACAAUGGGCGCAAGCCUGAUGCAGCGACGCCGCGUGAGGGACGACGGCCUUCGGGUUGUAAACCUCUUUCAGCACAGACGAAGCGCAAGUGACGGUAUGUGCAGAAGAAGCACCGGCCAACUACGUGCCAGCAGCCGCGGUAAUACGUAGGGUGCGAGCGUUGUCCGGAAUUACUGGGCGUAAAGAGCUCGUCGGUGGUUUGUCGCGUUGUUCGUGAAAACUCACAGCUCAACUGUGGGCGUGCGGGCGAUACGGGCAGACUGGAGUACUGCAGGGGAGACUGGAAUUCCUGGUGUAGCGGUGGAAUGCGCAGAUAUCAGGAGGAACACCGGUGGCGAAGGCGGGUCUCUGGGCAGUAACUGACGCUGAGGAGCGAAAGCGUGGGGAGCGAACAGGAUUAGAUACCCUGGUAGUCCACGCCGUAAACGGUGGGUACUAGGUGUGGGUU
rnacentral:rRNA from 1 species